rnacentral:lncRNA from 1 species
GUGAAAGUGUGUGCUUCCUCAACUGAUUGUGCGUGAGGGUGAUGUGGUUCAGUCUAAUAUUAAAACAAAACAAAACAAAAACAAAAUGAAAAAUCUUUAGAAUGGUAUUGUCUGCUCUUCAGCAGAUCUUGAAGUAUUUGAUUGCUAGCAUAUUGAUAUAAAAUCCAGCUGUGGGCUAGAGACCAGAAAGCAUGUAUUGCUGUUGUGUUUUGAGUUUGUAAUAAGUUAGAGGCAAGAAGGAAUAAACAAAUCAGGGCUGGGAGAAGAGAUGUCAUGGUAUAUUUGCUUUCUGAUUGUCACAUUCUUAUGCAUUCAUUCCGGUGAUGUCUACGUCCCACUCCAUAAUUAUAUAUCCUCUGUUAGAAAACUUCCAAAUAUUGGCUAUAACUGAACUUAGAGUGAAACUUAUUGACAUUCAAGAACUUCUUUCUUGUUUUGUUCUGAAAUUGCACUAGUGUCACUUUGGGGAUGCUGUAGAUGAGAAUAUUGGACCAGAGAGACUGAAAUAAGCCAAUGUGGCAUGUUCUGAAGUUUGUAAACAUAGAUUCCAAACUUUUAACUGUACUUAAAGUAAGUUCUACCUGAGUAUGGAUAAUGCCAAAUGAAAUUAAUUUUUCUAGACAGUUUGAUGAUUUCUUAAACAUACUUGAAUUGCCUGUUUCUUUUAGGGUCAUUUGCAAAAGCAUCCAAAAUGGGCUAAAAUAUUGUUUUCAAAUGU